rnacentral:lncRNA from 1 species
UCAAAGGGAAACUUGCACCUCGCUAUGUUGGUCCAUUUCCAGUGUUUGAACGUUGUGGACAUGUGGCUUAUAAGGUGCAAUUGCCAGAGAAUCUUUCAACAGUGCAUAACGUGUUUCACGUAUCUCAGUUGAAGAAAUGUCUUCGAGUCCCCGAACAAGUAGUUGAGGUUUCAGAUGUUAACCUUGAACCUGAUCUAACUUACUUUGAGUAUCCUAUUCGGGUUCUGGAUCAAAAAGAUCGGGUCACACGAAGAAAGAUUAUCAAGUUCUACAAAAUACAAUGGAACCAACACUCCGAAGAUGAGGCUACCUGAGAAUCAGAAGACUAUCUUAUGGAGCAUUUUCCUCAGUUUUUAGAUUCCUGUAAAUAUUAAGCCUUGUGUAUUUUGUCUUUGAUGUAAACCCACAGGGGCACACCCCUGCCUUGUAAGAAUAAAGGUAGAAUAAGAUCGUGACGCGUUUCCUUUUCCAUUACUUAGCCUGGAGUUUUAAUCUCGGGACGAGAUUCCUUUUUAGGGAGGAAGGAUGUAACACCCCUGGUGUUACGAGAACUAAAAUUUUGGCAUCUCAUCAUAUGCAUUAGCAUCAUCUAGCUUGAUACACCUAGAAUGCAUUUUAAUAGGUCCAAAAUUUCAAUUGAAACCAUAAACUAGCCCGAAAAGUGGAAUUUAAAAUCUAAUGAGAAGUUGCCAAAGGUCCAUAUACCAAAGUGGUAAAGCUUGGAAAGUUGAACAACUUUCAUGUGUGAAGAUGUCCAAGUUUUAUACGAAAACUUGGAGUAAACUGCAAAAAUUCAGUUUUGGUGCAAUUUGGAAUUUGCUGAAAAUAAUAUCAACUAGCUGUUUUUGGGCCUUUACAACUUUUGAUCUAUAAACAGUUUGAAGGUGGACAAUGUAACAAAGUUGUAGAGCUACACUAGGGGUACAAAUUUUCUUAGGCAACCUGUCCCUAAAAUCAUAUGCAACUUGGAGUAAAAGUGGCUCAAAGUUGAGCUGUUUGAAUUCUGAGUUUUCAGAUUUUGAAUAAUAGCCCAAGUCUGAAAUCAGUAUUUUAUUGCUUAGUUUGGAGCUAUGUUGUGAUUGAUCUAUAUGGUUUUCGACUGAAAUUCCUGUAGCAAGUUUGAAGACCAUAUGUUGGUGUGCAAGUUUGGUCAAAGGUCAUACCCCUAAAGCUACUUGGAACUUGGAGGAAAACUGGUCCAAAUUGGAGCUGUUUGACUUGUGAUUUCUGUACUUUGAUUCAGAAAUUGAAGUGCAGUUUCAGCAUUUUUAGCAAACUUCAGAUCUCUGUUGUGAUAAACUUCUGAUGUUAUGGCCUGCACUAUCUAGAGAAAAGUGUUAGAGGGUAAUAUGGUGAGUAAUUUUCGUUGAGGUGGAUCCCCCUGAACUAGCCUAGAAAUAGGAGAAAAUAGUGUCUAAAAACAUGCUGUCGGACUCCAGAUUUCAGACUUAGUUCAGUUGGCAGAAACUGAAUUUCAGUGAGUUUUGCUCAAGUUUGGAGCUUUCUUGUGGCUAAUUUUUGGAGUUAUAUACUAUGGUUUCUAUAGUAAAGUGGAAGACCAUACAACAGUGAAUAAGUUUUCUUAAGUAAGUUUGAUUUUGUGCUUCAAACAAAUUGGAGUAAACUGUGUCCAAAAUCUCCCUGUCAGGUGUUGAGUUCAGUUUGGUUUCAGUUGGCUGAAUCUGAAUUUUAGCGUUUCCAACCCACUUUGGAUCACUAUAACUUUUGAUCCAUGAGCCUUUGGUCUAUGGUUCCUGCACCAAAUUUGUAGAGCUAUAUUUUGUCAACAAGUUUUGUUAACGGAGAUCUCCCUGUUACCACUGAAAUUUGUGAGUAAAUUGAGCUCAAAGUUGCUCUGACAGAAAGAUGUGUACUGAAUUUGGUUCAGAUAGCUGAAUCUGAAUUUCUGUAUUUUCACCCCACUUUGAAGCACAAUAACUCUUGGUCUAUGAUUAUUUGACCUAGGUUUGCUGCAGCAGGUUUGUAGAGGUAUGUUUUGUGAGCAAAUUUUGUUAACUAAGGUUAGCCUGUUAUUACUGAAAAUUGGGAGAAAUUUUGCUCCAAAGUGAUCCUGUCAGGUUCAUGUGUUCGGGUAGCUGAAACAGAAAAUUCAGGGUUGGGCUUCUGUAACUGAAGAUUUUUUUUCUCUGUUGGCUGGACUUCACUAGAGUGCUCGAGUUGUAACAGAGAUAGAGUGUAUGACCAAGGAUUUAGUAACCUCAUCACUACUGCGAAAUAUUUAGUUUUGGACUGUUGUAUGGCCUGUGAGCAGUAAAAAUCUCAUCUGCUAGCUCUGUGGUGGAGUGCACUGGACAACAAAAUUCUGAAAGUUUUACCCAUGCAGAUAAUGUCAAGUUGGAUUUAUGUGAGCCUGUCCUAGGUGGAGUCCUUAUCUGCCUUCUAUUGUUUAUGUAAAAUGAACCAAGUUAAGUGUUUUGGCUGCACCCAUGAACAUGUGUGGCACUGUGAUUGUGUGCCACGUGUGGAGGCCAUGCAGUGCUAGCACCAUAUAGACCACUCUCCACUGCCUGCGUGGUGUGCUCAUGGCUGUUUGCUCCCUCGUUCAGCCACCUUAGGGUUUGGUUUUGUGAAGUUUUUCCCCUACUCUUGAGCUCCAAAUUUGUGGUCAUCGUGUGAGUGAUGUGGCAGUGUUCAGGCCUAGGUAACCUCCCUUUCAAACCCCCAAAUCUGAUUUGCUCUUGUGCUGUGUGCCAGCUCCCUAGUUGGUGACCACGCCCACUAAAUUCCCCACAUCGCCGUGGCCAGGCUUUCUCGUGGAGUUUUUCACCCGUGUGGUGAAUGUUCCGUGCUCUGCAAAGGUUAGUGAAGCUCACCCGGUUGGAAUCUCUAGCUCUAUUGUUGUGUGUUGCUUGGAACGGGGUCGCGACGCCUCGGUUCAGCGCCGGGGACAGUCUCCACGCCGACCCCUCAGCUCACGUCAUCUCCGCUCGGAUUCUUGCAUGCACCAUGGCCAUGGUAGAUCAGUGAUACUCUCCACGCCUUUGAUUGGAAUUCUACCACAUGGUGGCCGCGAGAUCGAGCUCGUCUGGCUGCGUUUUCCGCCAUCACCGUCGGUGACCGGGUUGUGGUGUCCUCGCAGUGAGUUCGCGCCCAUGCCCGGGUCCGCCAUGGUUCGGGGGUCGCGGGGGUGCUGUCGUCGUCGAUUACGUUGCACCACCCAGAUUAAUCAAACGUCGGUUCGCCGGAGCUCGCGCAGCCAAGUCGGGGUCGAGACUUUGUAAAAGGAGAGAAGUUGAGGGGUUUGGGUGAAGUGGUCAGUGAGAGGAGCCAAUAGUGGCAAGGAUGUGUGUUGGAUUUUUCUGAGCGGCUAGGGUCUUUGCGCAAAAGAGCAGGAGCGGACGAGGGCUCCCAGCCGCAGACCGACUCUGCCCGAUGCGGGACCACAGUGGGCUAGUUCCAGCACAUAAAGAAAUGGUUUUUCCUUAUUUAUUUAGCUGAGAGCUUGUAAAUUAGGCCAAAAAUUGUACAAAAAUGAUAAAAUUGUAAGACCAGUUUUAUGAGGUGUGUAAAAUCAUGUACUUUGUAGUAGAAAUAAAUUUAGGAGUUUUACAGCAGAUACCAAUUUUUUGGGGAACCUUGUCUUGACUAGCUGAGCACUUGGUCCAAGUUUGAAAUUGUUUGGAAGAAAUUUGCUCAGCAAACAGAUUGUUGCCCAAAAAGAAAAAAGAUUUUAACCUCGGGUAAUUAGGAAAUGAAGUUGCUUAAGAAAGUUUGAGCUUUUGGGUGAAGUUUAAGAUGGGUUAGUCCCCUGGUGAAUUGUUAGUUAAUGAUGUCUUCUAGUGCCCUUGGUAAUCCUCUAGUGUUUUGGCUAGUUUUAUGCACCUUGUAUUAAAGUGUACUCAGGAUGGAUUGUUUGUUACCUUCUUUAUGAAAUGCAUUUACGUACCACAACAAACAUUCAUCUACAUGUAAUUGACUUGUAGAACACCUAGAAGAAGUGGUGUCUGCAGAAGGAGUUCACUUCAGUGCUUGCUGAUCGAGUGGUGGAGUUUCAUCUAACUUUUUACCAGAGUAGAAGGAUUUUAGAUCUUCUCCUGCAAUAAGGCAAGCCCCGGUGCAUUUGCCACCUUCCUUGUAUUACAAAAUUUUAUCACUUAUAUGCUGCAUUAGGUAAUAGGAGUUGAAUGAUUAAACACUUGAUGCAUUACCAUCCUUGAAAGAUUGAUUAUCAUACCUUGUUACCUGUUUUAUAAAAACUAGUAAUGCUUAGUUAUGCUUAUAGAUUAAGAAAAAUGUUUUUAAUCUAUGACCAUGAUUUUUAAAAAGAAAAAGGGCUUGGGAUGAUGGAGACAUCCUCCGCGGGGAUGAAUUCAUCAUUCAAGCAGGAUACCUCUGCUAGGUAUCAAACUUUGAGAAUUUGUUUAAAAUGAGACCAGACGUUGAGUUGGACAGGUCGCCCGUCUGUGUCAAUCAAGGACCGUACCGAUUGUAGGCCUGUUGAUCUAAGACCUUUUAACUGGCCACAUACCUCGUCAUGGGUAAGCCUGAACCCGGCUACUCCAUAUGUGAAAAGACAAUCGCGAACUGGGAGUGGAGAGAUGGCGGGAGUGGCGUGUACCCACCUGGCACGUGGCUGGAUGGUGGAGUACCGUACUCUCGGGUGGCGCGGACCGGUUCACGUAGUGGAGGACCCGUGGGAAUGGUAGACAUAUGCAAGGGUUAAGUGCUACAUAUGUCGUGUGGCUGGAGAUCCCCAGCUGGGUAUUAAUCGAUUCGAAUCGCCGUUACUUCUCGGUCAUGAAGACUGGAUCACUGCUCUGCAUUGUAGAUAACAAGUAUAACAGAGUUUUGGUUAAAAGCAAUCUAGUAUAGGCCAAGUGAAUGAUCUAGAUUAGGAAAAUCUAGAGACAAGUUAGUAGAUUCAGGUAAUAACCUAACUUGUGAAAUAAAACCUGGCUUAAGGAUCCAUUAUUAGUAAGCUUUUAUGCAAAAAGGAGUCAUUGAUAAUUGAUGAGCUUUUCCCUUGAUUCCCCAAAAGCUAGCAUGCCCUUGAGAGUCUUUUACUUAGUCGGGUAAGUCUUGCUGAGUAAUUGCCUACUCAGGGUUUUAUUCCCUAUGUUGUUGCAGGAAAGAUUUUUGAUGCCUUGGCUUUAUUAGUUGCUUCUUAUGGAGGUCUUGAAGCUUAGAUUACUUAUGUGUAUCUUUUAUGGAAAGGCUUCACCUUUCCAGGUAUUGUAGUUAAGUUAUGCACUCUGAAGACUAUCAGGACUUGUAACAAUUUCAACCCCUUUUAUGUUGUAAAACUUGAGUUCUGGUAUUUUGUAAAAGUCUUCCGCUCUAUCUCCAAUGUGUGUGUAUCAAAUGUGAUUACUGUAAUAUGCUGUUAUGUGGGAGAUCCUUGGGAUGAUGAGUUCAAGUUGAUGAACUCGAUAGCCUUGUUAAGUUACCCAGUACACGUGCAUAGCAAUCUGAUACCAUUAAGGCAAGGAUUAGUGUAUGUGGGCCUGAUAACUUGGGAGGGCUGUCACAGCAUGGUAUCGGAGGGAUCCCCCAUUAGCAUAGAUAUUAAAGUAAUCCUUUGACAAACUUCAAAAUGAUUUUAAGUCCAAAUUAUUUUGGAAAACUUAAUAAUGGAUGAGCAAAUCCUGAUAGUAGCAGUGCAAAUAGUUGGUGUUUAUGACUAAGGACUAUAAGGUGACUUAGAUUAAGAUGCUAACCACUAACCCACAACUUGGGAGAAAUUUUUUUGCAGGUACACUAACUAAACACUAGGAAAGUGCGACUAGUGAUCAAUGACGGAGUGAGUAGGUAUGCCACCGCCAUAGAACGUGAUAGCCACUAUACGUUGGCAAGAUGUGUGAGGACGAAUAGGUCGAGCAUGCAUCAUGACAUACAACUUUAAGUUAGACCCCCUGUGUAUUCGUUUAGUGCGUGUUUCAUCCAUCCUGUCCAUGCUACCUACCUUUACUUUUCCAUGCUACCUUUCCUAUUCGGGAAGACUGGAAGCUAAGUUUCAUUUUGUUGCCAGAAUGAGGACUCGUUCUGGAAAGGAUCAUGGUGCUGGUGCUUCCCAGAGGAAUAUCGAUGCCCCCAAUCCAUCUCCGACAUCAGCUUUGGAUGAUGUUGUGGCUCAGCUUGUGAAUGUGAGCACUGUUCUUCAGCAAAUAGCCUAGCCUACAACAUCAACUCAGUAUGGUCGUCAUGAUUCUAAUGCUGCUAUCCUCUAUAAAGAGUUUCUCAGCAUGCAACCACCAGUGUUCACUAGAGCGGAAGAUCCAUUGGAGGCAGAAGAUUGGCUUCGUACCAUUGAGCAGAAGUUGGGACUCAUCUGUUGUGAUGACAUUCAGAAAACUCAGUGUGCAGCACAACAACUCCAGGGUCAAGCUGGGGCCUGGUGGGCUGAAUACUUUGCACUGCAGCAAGAGGGACAUCAAAUUUCUUGGGCUGAGUUCCGUGAGGUAUUUCGGACGCAUUAUAUUCCAAAAGCCCUGAUAGAGAUCAAAUUCAAUGAGUUCUUAGAUUUGAAGCAAGGCGAAGAAGAGAGUGUAAUGGAAUAUUUUGAGAGGUUCACUCGCCUAUCUCAGUACGUCUUGGAUUUUGUAAAUACCAAUGAGAAGAAAAAGUUCUACUUCCUACGUGGCCUCAACAAGAAGCUUCAGGGCUUGAUGGCAACCAGUUUGGCUGAAAGAUAUAAUGAGGUGGUCAGUCAGGCUGUUUUGGGGGAUAACAAGAUUCUACUUCAUCAGGAGUCUAAAAGAAAGAAAAUUGCGGAAGAAUCCUCUAGUAAAAUCAAACUGAUAGUCGCCUAGAGGGGGGGGUGAAUAGGGCGAAACUGAAAUUUACAAAUAUAAACACAACUACAAGUCGGGGUUAGUGUUAGUAAUAAAGAAACGAGUCCGCGAGAGAGGACGGAAAACAAAUCCCAAGCGAAUAAGCAAGUGAGACACGGAGAUUUGUUUUACCGAGGUUCGGUUCUUGCAAACCUACUCCCCGUUGAGGAGGCCACAAAAGGCCGGGUCUCUUUCAACCCUUCCCUCUCUCAAACGAUCCCUCGGACCGAGUGAGCUUUCUCUUCUCAAUUACUUGGAACACAAAGUUCCCACAAGGACCACCACAAGUUUGGUGUCUCUUGCCUCAAUUACAAGUGAGUUUGAUUGCGAUGAAAGAAUCAAGAAAGCACGAUUGAAAAAGGCCAAGCGACAAGAGCGACAAAUAACACACGGAUCACUUUCUCUCUCAAGCCACUAAUCACUAAUGAUCUCUUUUCUCAAUUGUGAAACUUGGAGAGAUGGAGGCUUUGAAUGUGUCUUGGAAUGGAUUGCUAGCUCUUGUAUUGAAUGUUGAAGGUUGGAAUGCUUGGAUGAAGUGAAUGGAGGUGGUUGGGGUUGUAUUUAUAGCCACCAACCACUUCCUAGCCGUUGGGCCAUUCUGCUGAGCGCGGACGGUCCGCCCUCCUGGUGCGGACGGUCCGCCCCUAUAGAUCAACGGCUGAAAAUGCAACGGUCAGCAGUAACGGCUAUAUCAACGGCUAUAUUGCAUUUAAUGCGUUGUCAGAUGUCAGACAGAGCCAGUCGCGGACGGUCCGGUCGUGCACCCCGGACGGUCCGCGAGGCCCCUUAUAAUUCAUUUCUCCGAACCCGUUACCUUCGGGUUUUUCGGUUUCUUACCGACCGGACGGUCCGCGCCUAAGGUCGGACGGUCCGCGCGAGGGCUCGGACGGUUCUUUGCUUUUCCUUCGGACAGUCCGUAAUGGAAACUUGUAUUUUUGCAUUGGUUCUGUCCGAGAGUCAUUCUAGUGUUGCGGACGGUCCGCCGCAAGGGCCCGGACGGUCCGCGCUUGGCCUGUUUUUCCAAGAAGCUUCUCCUGUCCGGAAUAAUCUACGGUAUUCCGGACAGUCGAUUUAGCAUAGUUAUAGAUGAACUUUUGGCACCUGUAAAACAUAUAAUCUAGAGCAAACUAGUUAGUCCAAUUGUUUGUGUUGGGCGAUUCAACCACCAAAACUAUUUAGGAACUAGGUGUAAGCCUAAUUCCCUUUCAAUCUCCCCCUUUUUGGUGAUUGAUGCCAACACAAACCAAAGCAAAUAUGGAAGUGCAUAAUUGAACUAGUUUGUAUAAUGUAGGUGUAAAGGUUGCUUGGAAUUUAGCUAAUAAACACUUACAAGAUAUGCAUGGAUUGUUUCUUCAUUUUUAAUAUUUUGGACCACGCUUGCACCAUAUGUUUUGUUUUUGCAAAUUCUUUUUGUAAAUCCAUUUCAAAGAUCUUUUGCAAAUAGUCAAAGGUAUAUGAAUAAGAGUUUGCAAAGCAUUUUCAAGAUUUGAAAUUGUCUCCCCCUAUUUCAAAUGCUUUUCCUUUGACUAAACAAAACUCCCCCUAAAAGAGAUCCACCUCUUAGUGUUCAAGAGGGUUUUGAUAUACCAUUUUUGAAAUACUACUUUCUCCCCCUUUUGAACACAAUAGGAUAUCAAUUGAAAAAUAUUCAACACUUAAGUUUUUUUGAAAUUGGUGGUGGUGCGGUCCUAUUGGUGGUGGUGCGGUCCUUUUGCUUUGGGCUCUUACUUUCUCCCCCUUUGGCAUGAAUCGCCAAAAACGGAAGCAUUAGAGCCCUUGAAGUGUUUCCUUCCCCUUGGGUCAUAAAUAAAUGAGUUAAGAUUAUACCAAAGACGAAGUCCUUUUGCUUGGUGCUCAUGAUUUCUUCCCCUAGAAUGGAGAGUUGCUUGGAGCGACGGCGAAGGAUGAGUUACGUAGUGGAAGCCUUUGUCUUUGCCGAAGACUCCGAUUCCCUUUCAAUACACUUAUGACUUGGUUUGAGAUAGACUUGAAAACACAUUAGUCAUAGCAUAUAAAGAGAUAUGAUCAAAGAUAUAUAAAUGAGUUAUGUGUGCAAUCUAACAAAAGAAAUUGCGCGAAUCAAGAAUAUUGAGCUCAUGCCUAAGUUUGUUAAAAGAUUGUUCAUCAAGAGGCUUGGUAAAGAUAUCGGCUAAUUGAUCUUUAGUGUUAAUGUAAGAAAUCUCGAUAUCUCCCUUUUGUUGGUGAUCCCUAAGAAAAUGAUACCGAAUGGCUAUGUGUUUAGUGCGGCUAUGCUCGACGGGAUUGUCGGCCAUUUUGAUUGCACUCUCAUUGUCACAUAGCAAAGGGACUUUGGUUAAUUUGUAACCGUAGUCCCGCAGGGUUUGCCUCAUCCAAAGCAAUUGCGCGCAACAAUGACCUGCGGCAAUAUACUCGGCUUCGGCGGUGGAAAGAGCGACCGAAUUUUGCUUCUUUGAAGCCCAAGACACCAAGGAUCUUCCCAAGAACUGGCAAGUCCCCGAUGUGCUCUUCCUAUUGAUUUUGCACCCCGCCCAAUCGGCAUCCGAAUAACCAAUUAAAUCGAAUGUGGAUCCCCUAGGAUACCAAAGCCCAAACUUAGGAGUAUAAGCCAAAUAUCUCAAGAUUCGUUUUACGGCCGUAAGGUGAGCUUCCUUAGGGUCGGCUUGGAAUCUUGCACACAUGCAUACAGAAAGCAUAAUAUCCGGUCGAGAUGCACAUAAAUAGAGUAAAGAACCUAUCAUCGACCGGUAUACCUUUUGAUCUACGGACUUACCUCCGGUGUCGAGGUCGAGAUGCCCAUUAGUUCCCAUGGGUGUCUUGAUGGGUUUGGCAUCCUUCAUCCCAAACUUGGUUAGAAUGUCUUGAGUGUACUUUGUUUGGCUGAUGAAGGUGCCCUCUUGGAGUUGCUUUACUUGGAAUCCUAAGAAAUACUUCAACUCCCCCAUCAUAGACAUCUCGAAUUUCUGUGUCAUGAUCCUACUAAACUCUUCACAUGUAGACUCGUUAGUAGACCCAAAUAUAAUAUCAUCAACAUAAAUUUGGCAUACAAACAAGUCAUUUUCAAGAGUUUUAGUAAAGAGUGUAGGAUCGGCUUUACCGACUUUGAAUCCAUUUGCAAUAAGAAAAUCUCUAAGGCAUUCAUACCAUGCUCUUGGGGCUUGCUUGAGCCCAUAAAGCGCCUUAGAGAGCUUAUAGACAUGGUUAGGAUACUCACUGUCUUCAAAGCCGGGAGGUUGCUCAACAUAGACCUCUUCCUUGAUUGGUCCAUUGAGGAAGGCACUUUUCACAUCCAUUUGAUAAAGCUUAAAGCCAUGGUAAGUAGCAUAGGCUAAUAAUAUGCGAAUUGAUUCAAGCCUAGCUACGGGUGCAUAGGUUUCACCGAAAUCCAAACCUUCGACUUGGGAGUAUCCCUUGGCCACAAGUCGAGCUUUGUUCCUAGUCACCACACCAUGCUCGUCUUGCUUGUUGCGGAAGACCCAUUUGGUUCCUACAACAUUUUGAUUAGGACGUGGAACUAAAUGCCAUACGUCAUUUCUGGUGAAGUUGUUGAGCUCCUCUUGCAUCGCCACCACCCAAUCCGAAUCUUGGAGUGCUUCCUCUAUCCUGUGUGGCUCAAUAGAGGAAACAAACGAGUAAUGUUCACAAAAAUGUGCAACCCGAGAUCUUGUAGUUACCCCCUUAUGAAUGUCGCCGAGGAUGGUGUCGACGGGGUGAUCUCGUUGGAUUGCUUGGUGGAUUCUUGGGUGUGGCGGCCUUUGUUCUUCAUCCUCAUUAUCUUCCUUAUUUGCAUCUCCCCCUUGAUCAUUGCCAUCAUCUUGAGGUGGCUCAUUUGAUUGAUCUUCUUCUUCAUCAACUUGAGCUUCAUCCUCAUUUUGAGUUGGUGGAGAUGCUUGCAUGGAGGAGGAUGGUUGAUCUUGUGCAAUUGGAGGCUCUUCGGAUUCCUUAGGACACACAUCCCCAAUGGACAUGUUCCUUAGCGCGAUGCAUGGAGCCUCUUCUUCACCUAUCUCAUCAAGAUCAACUUGCUCUACUUGAGAGCCGUUAGUUUCAUCAAACACAACGUCACAAGAGACUUCAACUAGUCCAGUGGACUUGUUAAAGACCCUAUAUGCCCUUGUGUUUGAGUCAUAACCAAGUAAAAAGCCUUCUACAGUUUUAGGAGCAAAUUUAGAUUUUCUACCUCUUUUAAUAAGAAUGAAGCAUUUGCUACCAAAAACUCUAAAAUAUGAAAUGUUGGGCUUUUUACCGGUUAGGAGUUCAUAUGAUGUCUUCUUGAGGAUUCGGUGAAGAUAUAACCGGUUGAUGGCGUAGCAGGCUGUGUUGACCGCCUCGGCCCAAAACCGGUCCGGUGUCUUGUACUCAUCAAGCAUGGUUCUUGCCAUGUCCAAUAGAGUUCGAUUCUUCCUCUCCACUACACCGUUUUGUUGUGGCGUGUAGGGAGAAGAGAACUCAUGCUUGAUGCCCUCCUCCUCAAGGAAGCUUUCAAUUUGAGAGUUCUUGAACUCCGUCCCAUUGUCGCUUCUUAUUUUCUUGAUCCUUAAGCCGAACUCAUUUUGAGCCCGUCUCAAGAAUCCUUUUAAAGUUUCUUGGGUUUGAGAUUUUUCCUGUAAAAAGAAUACCCAAGUGAAGCGAGAAUAAUCAUCCACAAUUACAAGACAAUACUUACUACCGCCGAUGCUUAUGUAAGCGAUCGGGCCGAAUAAAUCCAUGUGUAGUAGCUCCAGCGGCCUGUCGGUAGUCAUGACAUUUUUGUGUGGAUGAUGGAUGCCAACUUGCUUCCCGGCUUGGCAUGCGCUACAAAUCCUGUCUUUCUCAAAAUGAAUAUUGGUUAGUCCCAAAAUGUGUUCUCCCUUUAGAAGCUUGUGAAGAUUCUUCAUUCCAACAUGGGCUAGUCGGCGGUGCCAAAGCCAACCCAAGUUAGUCUUAGCAACUAAGCAAGUGUCGAGUUCAGCUCUUUCAAAAUCUACCAAGUAUAGCUGACCCUCUAACACUCCCUUAAAAGCUAUUGAAUCGUCACUUCUUCUAAAGACAGUAACACCAUUAUCAGUAAAAAGACAGUUGUAGCCCAUUUUACAUAAUUGGGAUACGGAAAGCAAAUUGUAAUCUAAAGAAUCAACGAGAAAAACAUUGGAAAUAGAAUGGUCAGGAGAUAUAGCAAUUUUACCCAAUCCUUUGACCAAACCUUGAUUUCCAUCCCCGAAUGUGAUAGCUCGUUGGGGAUCUUGGUUUUUCUCAUAUGAGGAGAACAUCCUUUUCUCCCCGGUCAUAUGGUUUGUGCACCCACUGUCGAGUAUCCAACUUGAGCCCCCGGAUGCAUAAACCUACAAAACAAGUUUAGUUCUUUGUUUUAGGUACCCAAACGGUUUUGGGUCCUUUGGCAUUAGAAAUGAGAACUUUGGGUACCCAAACACAAGUCUUGGAACCCUUGUGCUUGCCCCCAACAAAUUUGGCAACUAUCUUGCCGGAUUUGCUAGUAAGCACAUAAGAUGCAUCAAAAGUUUUAAAUGAAAUGGCAUGAUCAUUUGAUGCAUUAGGAGUUUUCUUUCUAGGCAACUUGGCACGGGUUGGUUGCCUAGAGCUAGAUGUCUCACCCUUAUAUAUAAAAGCAUGGUUAGGGCCAGAGUGAGACUUCCUAGAGUGAAUUCUCCUAAUUUUGCUCUCGGGAUAACCGGCAGGGUACAAAAUGUAACCCUCGUUAUCCUGAGGCAUGGGAGCCUUGCCCUUAACAAAGUUAGACAAAUUUUUAGGUGUGGCAUUAAGUUUGACAUUGUCUCCCCUUUGGAAGCCAAUGCCAUCCUUGAUGCCAGGGCGUCUCCCAUUAUAGAGCAUGCUUCUAGCCAAUUUAAAUUUUUCAUUUUCUAAGUCAUGCUCUCUAAUCUUAGCAUUUAGUUGAGCUAUGUGAUCAUUUUGUUUUUUAAUUAAGGCUAGGUGAUCAUGGAUAGCAUCAACAUUAAUAUCUCUACAUCUAGUACAAAUGGAAAUAUGCUCAACAUUAGAUGUAGAGGGUUUGCAAGAUUUUAGUUCAACAACCUUAGCAUGCAACAUAUCAUUUUUAGUUCUAAGGUCGGAAAUAGUAGCAUUGCAAACAUCAAAAUCCUUAGCCUUAGCAAUUAGUUUCUCAUUCUCAUUUCUAAGGCUAGCAAUGGAAACGUUUAACUCAUCAAUCCUAGCAAGCAAAUCAACAUUAUCAUUUCUAGGAUCAAUGCAAACAUGAGAAUCUACCUUAGCAAUUAAUUUAGCAUUUUCAUUUCUAAGGUUGGCAAUAGUGUCAUGGCACAUGCUUACUUCACUAGAUAAUUUGUUACAUUUUUCUACUUCUAGAGCAUAAGCAUUUUUAACCUUAACAUGUUUCUUAUUCUCUUUAAUUAGAAAGUUCUCUUGGGAGUCCAAGAGAUCAUCCUUUUCAUGGAUGGCACUAAUUAGUUCAUUUAAUUUUUCCUUUUGUUCCAUGUUAAGGUUAGCAAAAAGAAUACGUAAGUUAUCCUCCUCAUUUUUAUUAUCAUCCUCAUCACUAGAUGUUUCAUAUUUAGUGGAGGACCUUGAUUUUACCUUCUUUUUGCCGUCCUUGGCCAUGAGACACUUGUGGCCGACGUUGGGGAAGAGAAGGCCCUUGGUGACGGCGAUGUUGGCGGCGUCCUCGUCGGAGGAGGAGUAGCUUGAGCUUUCGUCGGAGUCCCACUCCCGACAAACAUGGGCAUCGCCGCCCUUCUUCUUGUAAUACUUCUUCUUCUCCUUUCUUCUUCCCUUCUUGUCGUCGCCCCUGUCACUGUCACUAGACAUAGGACAUUUUGCAAUAAAGUGACCGGGCUUACCACACUUGUAGCAAACCUUCUUGGAACGGGGUUUGUAGUCCUUCCCCUUCCGUUGCUUGAGAAUUUGCCGAAAGCUUUUGAUGAUUAGGGCCAUCUCCUCGUUGUCGAGCUUGGAGGCGUCAAUUGGUUGUCUACUUGGUGUAGACUCCUCCUUCUUCUCUUCCGUUGCCUUGAAGGCCACAGGUUGCGCCUCGGAGGUGGAAGGCUCGUCAAGCUCGUUGAUCUUCUUGGAGCCCUUAAUCAUGCAUUCAAAACUCACAAAAUUCCCGAUAACUUCCUCGGGAGUCAUUAGUGGAUAUCUAGGAUUCCCACGAAUUAAUUGUACUUGAGUGGGGUUAAGGAAAAUAAGAGCUCUUAGAAUAACCUUAACCACUUCGUGGUCAUCCCAUUUUGUGCUCCCGAGGUUGCGCACUUGGUUCACCAAGGUCUUGAGCCGGUUGUACAUGUCUUGUGGCUCCUCCCCUUGGCGAAGACGGAAGCGACCGAGCUCCCCCUCGAUCGUUUCCCGCUUGGUGAUCUUGGUGAGUUCAUCACCCUCGUGCGCCGUCUUGAGUAGGUCCCAAAUUUCCUUGGCGUUCUUCAAUCCUUGUACUUUGUUGUAUUCCUCCUUGCUUAGGGAGGCAAGGAGGAUGGUUGCGGCUUGGGAGUUGAAGUGCUCGAUUUGGGCCACUUCGUCCGUGUCAUAGUCCUCAUCCCCUAUUGAUGGUACCUGUACACCAUACUCAACAACAUCCCAUAUUCUUUUGUGGAGAGAGGUUAGAUGAAAUCGCAUCAAAUUACUCCACAUAGCAUAAUCCUCACCAUUAAAAGUUGGUGGUUUGCCUAAUGGGACGGAAAGUAAAGGUGUAUGUUUAGGAAUGCGAGGGUAGCGUAGGGGGAUCUUACUAUACUUCUUGCGCUCUUGGCGCUUAGAAGUGACGGAGGGCGCAUCGGAGUCGGAGGUCGAUGUUGAUGAAGUGUCGGUCUCGUAGUAGACCACCUUCCUCAUCCUCUUGUGCUUGUCGCCUUUCCGAUGCAGCUUGUGGGAAGAAGAUUUUUCCUUCUUCUCUUUGUGGUGAGAAGAAGACUUCUUCUCCUUCCCUUUGUUGGAGGAGCUCUUCUUCUUCUCCCUCCUUUUGGUGCGGGACUCUUCCGAUGAAGUGCUCCCGUAGCUUGUAGUGGGCUUUUCGCCGGUCUCCAUCUCCUUCUUGGCGUGAUCUCCCGACAUCACUUCGAGCGGUUAGGCUCUAAUGAAGCACCGGGCUCUGAUACCAAUUGAUAGUCGCCUAGAGGGGGGGGUGAAUAGGGCGAAACUGAAAUUUACAAAUAUAAACACAACUACAAGUCGGGGUUAGUGUUAGUAAUAAAGAAACGAGUCCGCGAGAGAGGACGGAAAACAAAUCCCAAGCGAAUAAGCAAGUGAGACACGGAGAUUUGUUUUACCGAGGUUCGGUUCUUGCAAACCUACUCCCCGUUGAGGAGGCCACAAAAGGCCGGGUCUCUUUCAACCCUUCCCUCUCUCAAACGAUCCCUCGGACCGAGUGAGCUUUCUCUUCUCAAUUACUUGGAACACAAAGUUCCCACAAGGACCACCACAAGUUUGGUGUCUCUUGCCUCAAUUACAAGUGAGUUUGAUUGCGAUGAAAGAAUCAAGAAAGCACGAUUGAAAAAGGCCAAGCGACAAGAGCGACAAAUAACACACGGAUCACUUUCUCUCUCAAGCCACUAAUCACUAAUGAUCUCUUUUCUCAAUUGUGAAACUUGGAGAGAUGGAGGCUUUGAAUGUGUCUUGGAAUGGAUUGCUAGCUCUUGUAUUGAAUGUUGAAGGUUGGAAUGCUUGGAUGAAGUGAAUGGAGGUGGUUGGGGUUGUAUUUAUAGCCACCAACCACUUCCUAGCCGUUGGGCCAUUCUGCUGAGCGCGGACGGUCCGCCCUCCUGGUGCGGACGGUCCGCCCCUAUAGAUCAACGGCUGAAAAUGCAACGGUCAGCAGUAACGGCUAUAUCAACGGCUAUAUUGCAUUUAAUGCGUUGUCAGAUGUCAGACAGAGCCAGUCGCGGACGGUCCGGUCGUGCACCCCGGACGGUCCGCGAGGCCCCUUAUAAUUCAUUUCUCCGAACCCGUUACCUUCGGGUUUUUCGGUUUCUUACCGACCGGACGGUCCGCGCCUAAGGUCGGACGGUCCGCGCGAGGGCUCGGACGGUUCUUUGCUUUUCCUUCGGACAGUCCGUAAUGGAAACUUGUAUUUUUGCAUUGGUUCUGUCCGAGAGUCAUUCUAGUGUUGCGGACGGUCCGCCGCAAGGGCCCGGACGGUCCGCGCUUGGCCUGUUUUUCCAAGAAGCUUCUCCUGUCCGGAAUAAUCUACGGUAUUCCGGACAGUCGAUUUAGCAUAGUUAUAGAUGAACUUUUGGCACCUGUAAAACAUAUAAUCUAGAGCAAACUAGUUAGUCCAAUUGUUUGUGUUGGGCGAUUCAACCACCAAAACUAUUUAGGAACUAGGUGUAAGCCUAAUUCCCUUUCACAAACAGUGUCGGAGGGUUGUUUAUCAAUCUGUUUAUUAUCCUCGUUCUUCUCCACCCCAGUUGUCUAGCUCUCCUCAGUCAUGUGAAAAACAAGCUGUCAUUCCUUUCAUUCCACAUGAGCCGGAUGCCCCAGACAUUCGUUCUAAAGAUAUUUCAGACAAUGUUAAUUCAUGUGAGAAUUGUGGUAAGUCAGGGCACUCUACACAAGAUUGUCGCAUUCCUAAGCUAGUGAAUGAGCGGUUGUCGCUCGUGAAUCUCCCUCGAGGUAACCAGUGAAAAGCGAGGAAGAAUGAGGUUGUUCUUAAACUGGGUCAAGUUCAUUAUACUAAGAUCAAAGCUAUUCCUGAGUGUGAACCGGUUAUGAUGGGUACUUUCCCGGUCGCCAAUCGUUUAGCUAGUAUCCUGUUUGAUUCUGGUGGUUCCCAUACCUUCAUAAAUCGGAUGUUUGUAUUAAAGCACCAAUUGUCUUUGGAGGUAGUAGAGAAUGGGUAUUGUAUACAAUCUUCUGGAGGACGCUUGCAUACUAAAGAAAUGGUAUAUCAGAUACCCAUAAAGCUAGGUGGUCACAUGUUUCCUACCAACAUUCUAGUUCUUCCAAAUCAAUAUAUAGAUGUUAUCCUUGGCAUGAAUUGGCUUAGUCAACAUGGGGCGGUAAUCAACGCUCUAUAACGGACAAUACAAUUGGAUUCGCCUAACGGUAACUACAAGUUGCUGAUCCGAUUAUCGACACCUAAGAGAGCAGUGGAGAGAGUGUGUGCUAUCACUGUUAAAGAAGUAAAGGAUAUACCUGUUGUCAAGGAAUUUCCAGAUGUGUUUCCUGAAGAUUUGCCUGGUUUGCCUCCAGAAAGGGACGUGGAAUUCGUGAUUGAAUUGCAGCCGGGUACUGCACCCAUAUCUAGAAGGUCAUACAGAAUGGCACCCAAGGAGUUAGCAGAACUGAAGACUCAAUUGCAGGACUUGCUCAACAAAGGGUUCAUUCGCCCAAGUUCAUCACCUUGGGGCUGUCCUGCCAUCUUUGUGAAAAAGAAGGAUCAAACACUCCGGUUAUGUGUUGAUUACCGGCCACUUAACGAGGUGACCAUCAAAAACAAAUAUCCUCUCCCUCGUAUUGAUUUGUUGUUUGAUCAACUUUCUGGAGCUAAAGUGUUUUCUAAGAUUGACCUUAGAUCGGGUUAUCACCAGAUAAGAAUUCGUCAUGAAGAUGUUCCCAAGACUGCUUUCACUACCCGAUACGGUCUCUAUGAAUAUUUGGUUAUGUCCUUUGGUCUAACCAAUGCUCCAGCUCAUUUCAUGUACUUAAUGAACUCGAUGUUCAUGCCCGAGCUUGACAAGUUUGUGGUGGUCUUUAUUGAUGACAUCUUGAUAUACUCGAAGACCAAAGAAGAUCAUGCAGAGCACUUGCGUAUCGUUCUAACAAGAUUACGAGAACACCAACUUUAUGCCAAAUUCAGCAAGUGUGAAUUUUGGUUGGAUACCAUUCCGUUCUUGGGUCAUAUCUUGUCUGCCGAAGGUGCUGCAGUCGACCCAAGUAAAGUCAAGGACAUUCUGGAAUGGAAGCCACCCACCACAGUGCAUCAAGUCCGAAGUUUCCUUGGAAUGGCGGGGUAUUACCGUCGUUUUAUUCCAGAUUUCUCCAAGAUAGCUAAGCCUAUUACUGAGUUGCUCAAGAAUCAUAUCAAAUUUGUGUGGUCAUCUGAGUGCAACAAAGCUUUUGAAGAACUAAAAAAGUUGUUGACUACCGCACCAGUAUUGGCGCAGCCUGAUAUUGAGAAAUCCUUUGAUGUUUAUUGUGAUGCUUCGGGCAUUGGCAUAGGGUGUGUACUUAUGCAAGAAGGUCGUGCGAUUUCUUAUGCAUCACGACAACUCAAGCGUCAUGAAGAGCAUUACCCAACCCAUGAUCUUGAACUUGCUGCUGUUGUUCAUGCACUCAAGAUCUGGCGCCAUUAUUUGCUGGGUAAUACGUGUCACAUAUAUACUGACCAUAAAAGUCUAAAGUACAUUUUUACACAGUCUGAACUGAAUAUGAGGCAAAGAAGAUGGCUUGAGUUGAUCAAGGACUAUGAUUUAGAAGUCCAUUACCAUCCUGGCAAAGCUAAUGUCGUGGCAGAUGCUCUAAGCCGGAAGCCUCAAUGUAAUUGUCUUUCGGUGAGGCCUUUAACUGUCACCCUAUGUCAGGAAAUGGAAAGGUUGAAUUUAGGGAUAAUUCAGCAUGGAACCUUAACCAAUCUUGUUCUUGAAUCAACUAUCCAAAGCCAAAUCAUUGAAGCUCAAAAGGUGAAUAAGGGUAUAGCUCAUAUCAAGGAACGAGUUGAAGCAGGAAAGGCUACAUGUUUUAGAAUCGACGAAAAUGGUAUCCUUUGGUUCAAACACCGUUUGGUAGUUCCAAAGGUACCUGAAUUACGACAACAAAUACUAGACGAAGCUCAUUUGUCUCGGUAUUCCAUUCACCUAGGAAGCAAUAAGAUGUAUCAAGAUCUGAAGCAAAGGUUUUGGUGGACCAAGAUGAAGAUAGAAAUUGCUCGGUAUGUGGCUAAAUAUGACAUUUGUCAACGUGUGAAAGCCGUUCAUUUGAAAUCUGUCGGGCCGUUACAACCUUUGCCCAUUCCUGCCUGGAAAUGGGAAGAUAUCAGCAUGGACUUCAUUGUUGGUUUACCCAAAACAUCAAAAGGGUAUGACUCUAUCUGGGUGAUUGUGGAUCGUCUCACCAAGUUGGCUCAUUUCCUGCCAGUAAACAAAAGCAACUCAGUACUUGCAUAUGCUAAGUUGUAUAUCGCUCGUAUUCUGAAUUCGCAUGGUAUACCCAAGACCAUUGUAUCGGAUCGGGGUCCGCAAUUUGUUGCCAAGUUUUGGGCAGAGUUGCACAAAUCUUUAGGUACCAAGCUAAUUCACAGUUCAACUUAUCAUCCGCAAACCAGUGGUCAAACUGAGAGGGUGAAUCAGAUCCUAGAAGAUAUGUUAAGAGCUUGUGUUCUCGCUUACUCUGCUAAGUGGGAUGAAUGCUUGCCAUUGGCUGAGUUCUCGUAUAAUAAUAGUUAUCAAGAAAGUAUAAAGAUGGCACCUUUUGAAGCGUUAUAUGGUCGAAGGUGUAGAACUCCUCUGAAUUGGUCCGAACCAGGUGAAAGGUGUUUCUUUGGGCCAGAUUUGGUAAAGGAAGCAGAAGAAAAGGUCAAACUGAUUCAGCAUCACUUGAAGAUAGCUCAACAUCGCCAAAAGUGUUAUGCCGAUAAGAGACGUCGAUCUUUGAUUUUCCAUGUCGGUGAUCAUGUGUAUUUAAAAGUGUCACCAAUGAAGGGCGUGGCUCAAUUUGGUGUCAAAGGGAAACUUGCACCUCGCUAUGUUGGUCCAUUUCCAGUGUUUGAACGUUGUGGACAUGUGGCUUAUAAGGUGCAAUUGCCAGAGAAUCUUUCAACAGUGCAUAACGUGUUUCACGUAUCUCAGUUGAAGAAAUGUCUUCGAGUCCCCGAACAAGUAGUUGAGGUUUCAGAUGUUAACCUUGAACCUGAUCUAACUUACUUUGAGUAUCCUAUUCGGGUUCUGGAUCAAAAAGAUCGGGACACGAAGAAAGAUUAUCAAGUUCUACAAAAUACAAUGGAACCAACACUCCGAAGAUGAGGCUACCUGGGAAUCAGAAGACUAUCUUAUGGAGCAUUUUCCUCAGUUUUUAGAUUCCUGUAAAUAUUAAGCCUUGUGUAUUUUGUCUUUGAUGUAAACCCACAGGGGCACACCCCUGCCUUGUAAGAAUAAAGGUAGAAUAAGAUCGUGACGCGUUUCCUUUUCCAUUACUUAGCCUGGAGUUUUAAUCUCGGGACGAGAUUCCUUUUUAGGGGGGGAAGGAUGUAACACCCCUGGUGUUACGAGAACUAAAAUUUUGGCAUCUCAUCAUAUGCAUUAGCAUCAUCUAGCUUGAUACACCUAGAAUGCAUUUUAAUAGGUCCAAAAUUUCAAUUGAAA